rnacentral:tRNA from 1 species
GCGGUGGUGGUUCAGUGGUAGAAUUCACGCCUUCCAUGCAGGAGACCCAGGUUCAAUUCCUGGCCAAGGCA